GUGCCAGCCGCCGCGGUAAUACGUAGGGAGCAAGCGUUAUCCGGAUUUAUUGGGUGUAAAGGGUGCGUAGACGGGAAGACAAGUUAGUUGUGAAAUCCCUCGGCUCAACUGAGGAACUGCAACUAAAACUAUCUUUCUUGAGUGUUGGAGAGGAAAGUGGAAUUCCUAGUGUAGCGGUGAAAUGCGUAGAUAUUAGGAGGAACACCGGUGGCGAAGGCGACUUUCUGGACAAUAACUGACGUUGAGGCACGAAAGUGUGGGGAGCAAACAGGAUUAGAUACCCUGGUAGUCCACACCGUAAACGAUGGAUACUAGGUGUAGGGGACAUUAAGUCUUCUGUGCCGUCGCUAACGCAGUAAGUAUCCCACCUGGGGAGUACGACCGCAAGGUUGAAACUCAAAGGAAUUGACGGGGGCCCGCACAAGCAGUGGAGUAUGUGGUUUAAUUCGAAGCAACGCGAAGAACCUUACCAGGGCUUGACAUAUAAGUGAAUAAGUAAGAGAUUACUUAGUCCUUCGGGACACUUAUACAGGUGGUGCAUGGUUGUCGUCAGCUCGUGUCGUGAGAUGUUAGGUUAAGUCCUGCAACGAGCGCAACCCUUGCUUCUAGUUGCCAGCACGUAAUGGUGGGAACUCUAGAGGGACUGCCGGUGAUAAAUCGGAGGAAGGUGGGGACGACGUCAAAUCAUCAUGCCCUUUAUGUCCUGGGCUACACACGUACUACAAUGGCUGUAACAGAGGGAUGCAACAUAGCAAUAUGAAGCGGAACCCAAAAAGCAGUCUCAGUUCGGAUUGAAGGCUGAAAUUCGCCUUCAUGAAGCCGGAAUUGCUAGUAAUGGCAGGUCAGCAUACUGCCGUGAAUACGUUCCCGGGCCUUGUACACACCGCCCGU
rnacentral:rRNA from 1 species